rnacentral:rRNA from 1 species
UACAACUUUCAACAAUGGAUCUCUUGGCUCUCGCAUCGAUGAAGAACGCAG